rnacentral:rRNA from 1 species
GGUAGACUGACAUUACCUAUACAAGAAGCACCGGCUAACUCCGUGCCAGCAGCCGCGGUAAUACGGAGGGUGCAAGCGUUAAUCGGAAUUACUGGGCGUAAAGCGUGCGUAGGCGGUUGUUUAAGUCAGAUGUGAAAGCCCUGGCUUAACCUGGGAACUGCAUUUGAUACUGGGCAACUAGAGUUUAGUAGAGGGGAGUGGAAUUUCAGGUGUAGCGGUGAAAUGCGUAGAGAUCUGAAGGAACACCAGUGGCGAAGGCGGCUCCCUGGACUAAAACUGACGCUGAGGUACGAAAGCGUGGGUAGCAAACAGGGUUAGAUACCCUGGUAGUCCACGCCGUAAACGAUGUCAACUAACUGUUGGGUUCUUAAAGAACUUAGUAGUGGAGCAAGGGC